UUUUGGGGAAUUUACAAAAUGAUGCCCAAACCAUCCGGUAAUCUCAUUAAAUGUAGCACUAAUUUUAAACAGCAUGUAUGGCUUCAAUUAGGAGUAAAAUACUUUAUUAAAGUGACAGAAACGCACAUACUGAAUAUAUACAAUAAGAUUUUAGAUUCCAACCACUAUUUGUAAAAUGAAAAAACAUAUAUAUCCACCUCUGACACCUCCAUUGGUGGUUUAAAAAUAGUUCUCUAAACUAAACAACAUUGUCUUCAAAAACGUCUGAGCAUUUUGUGCUCUAACAUCGCUAUGAUAGUUAAACUUUGGUUAAAUUUAGGCAAUAAAAACCUUUUUGGUUAUGGAAAGAUCAUGGUCGUGGUUAAAAGAAAACAACAAUGACUGUCAAUAACAAACAAAUCCACUGAUUUCGGCAAUUUCAUUGAAAGGAAUUGAUUUUGCUGUGAAACGUUGUUUUAAAUGCUAUAAAAACUAGAGGUUUUACUGAAAUGUGGCUCACAUGCAGCUCUUUAUUCCUUCUUCAUUACAGCUUCUGUUUAAAGUUUUGCUGUUCUGUGCACAGAAUAUGUAUGAAUUGUAAAAUGAGUAGCUUUGAAAGUGACUCUCCCUGCCUAUAUCUGGUCCAUCAGCCCACCGACGGGCUCAAAGUGUCUCAAACAGAUGAUUGAUGUGAAACUUUCCCCCUAAACAUAAACACAGUCAGUGUUUUCAGCUGUGGAUGAUCCAUCUGGGAAGAGCUCAGACCACUGCAGAAGGAACUUUUUUCCUUUUCACUAUUUUUACUGCGUUCAUUUAAGUCCCACUUGGAUCAUUUCGGUUGAAAGUGAAGAAAGAUAGCGCUCAGCCCUCACAAGAUGUUUGCAAGCUUGUCCUGCAGGUGCUUUUGCAAAGAAACUUACAGUUAAAAUUGCAGUAGGUUAUGUGUCUAUGAGAGAAAUGGCCACGGUGAAGAAAGACAAAGUUGUCGACUAAAUGCUCCUGCUUUUUCAUUUAUAUAUAUAAAAAAUAUUUUGAAAGAAAACCCAUCAAUGCUUUAGAUUACAGCCUGAAGAUUACAGUGCAAUUAUUUAGUACAUAUGAGAUGAAUCAUGAACCAGGUACCUACACAAGGACAACAAUAUAAGCACAUGGUAAGAAGACUAGAAGUUAAGGAAGAAGGAAAGCCUGUAAGCCUGGAGCACAAACCUUUCCACAGUUAUUUGUCACUGCAUUUCCCUUUAAAAAAGUGUUAAAAAGAUCUAAAUUUGUUGCUCUACAAAGACAGAUCCCUCAUAUUUCUGUGUAAGUAUGUGUUUCAGCACUAGGUGGCAGCACUCUGCAGGCCAUUCCUGCACUGUGACUCUCCAGACACUGAACACUUUUCAUGUCUGACAGUAAAGAAAACCAUGCAGGUAUCUGUCAUGCUGUUUACACAAACUGUAGCCUCACAGUUUCACCCCUGCUGUGUGUUUAUACAGCCUUUAAUAGUUUUCACAACAGGGACUUUAAAAACGGUGUUUCUUUGUCCUCCCCCAGAAAUAAUUCUUAAUAAUCCUGUAAGAAACAAAAAAACAGCAAAAAAUAUUGCCAGUGAACAUAAUCCAGGGAGCAAUCAUAUUUCCUCUGAAGCAUAUUUGUCAAAAUAAAUCAGUAUAUAAACAUAAUUACAAUGACACCGAUUCGUCCCAGAGGAUCAACCAUUUUCCAUGAAAAUGAAUGACCCAAAUGUGGCGCACAUAUUGACAGUCAGAGAGUGAAGCCUAAUUUUUUCAUGAUGCCAUUGAUUUUGAAUUUUGUGCCACCAGCAGGCCAAAUUUUUAACUUUGUCCACAACAAAAGCUCUUAAUUUUAGGAGGGAAUAGUCAUGCUUCUCUGAAUGCUUUAAUUAAGUAAUUUUAAGUGUUUUAUUUAUUAUUCAGUUAUCAUUUAGCUGAUACUUUUAUCCAAAGUGACUUACAAUUGCUGCACAUGUCAGAGGUCGCACCCCCAUGGAGCAGUUAAGUGUCUUGCUAAGGGACACACUGGUGGAUGUCAACAGUGGGAAUCAAAACCCGGCCUCCCAUACCAGAGGUACAGUAUGUGUCUUGUCCACUGCAGCAUCACCACCUCUAUGUCUCUCUGAAUGCUGCAUGUCCAUAGGUGUCACUUACACUGGGGACGCUGGGUGCCCCACCACUUUUUGAGAUGGCUGAUUUUGUCCCCACCACUUUUUGAAAGUAAUGUUAAAAACAAAUGAAAUUAUUAGAUUUUUUGCACAAUAAGAAAACAUGCAAUGCGAUGUAAAUAUCUAAGAAACAAAUGUAGGCUACAUUGUCCAAGAAUUCUGUGUUUCCCUUUAUAAAUAAACCAUUCAACCAUAAAUUAGUGCGGAAAAUCUCUCUAGAAUGCUCAAAAUGUUCUUGGGGAGGAUCACCAGACCGCCUAAAUCAUAUAUCACAUCAGUGAAUACUGAUUUUAAUAUAUUCUUGUCUUGUUCUCGUGACCCCAUUAUUGUGCAUCAUCUUGUAUCGUAAGUUAAGUGUAUCACUGCACCCCUAAUCUGAGCCCUUAAAUGUCCCCACCCCUUUUCAGCACAGAGUGAAACCCUUGUGCAUGUCUCUCUGGAUGCUGCAGGUCCCGCUGGAGGCUGCAGGUCUCUCGGGAUGCUGCGUGUCUCUCUGGAGGCUGCAGGUCUCUCUGUCCCGCUGGACGCUGCAGGUCUCUCUGGACGGUGUAGGUCUCACUGGACGCUGCGUGUCUUAUACAUACACUGAGAAGAAAAAGAGACUGAUCCAAAUCUCCAUUAUUCCACCAUGAUGUCAUGAAGUCAGCUCCACCCAUGUGAGAUAUUACUUCUGCCUGUUGUGUGAAGAGAAGCAGCCCAGCCAGCGAUUGGUCAUCUUUGAUCUCAGCUUCACAACGUGCCGCUGGUCUCCGAGGCCUGACACUGCACCCUGUCCUCCGACGUCAAACUAAGAUCCGUCUGUCCGCUGUGACUGUACACAAAGAGAACUGCAGACAAAACACGGGGCUGAGAAAUCCCACUCCUUCAAAUCUUUCACUGUCUGUGACGCCCCCUCACCUCUGGAUAUGAACCCAGCACACCCGGAGGACCACAACCACUGAUGCAACAAGCUCAAGGCGAGUUUGGCAGCCAUCUUGUUUUUACAGCCUCUCCAUUUCUAUCUGGUCUAGCUGCUAGACAUGCAGUCACUGUCAAAUUCAGGCUGCAUGCACAUGACCAACGUUCUUCAGAACACAAUGCAGAAGCAGAAAGUAGAGCAGCUUUACAUCAAGACGUAAAGAGAGCAAACUGAAAAAUGUCAGGGUUUUAAACAAAGGAUCUUAUAUAGUUGAGGAUAUGGCAGCAAGGAAUGAUUAUUUUCAUAUCAGUUCAUAUUGUGCCAUGUAUUUUAUAUUAAUAAAUCACAAAAAUCUAAUUUUCAUUUAUUAAAUUCUCCAUUUUAUUCAUUUUUUUCACUCAUACUUCCUUUGCAAGCACAUUACAUGCUUAUGUUAGCUUAGGGUCUUCUGAAUCCAUAGAUACCAAUCACGUAUUUCAGGGAGAUCAGGUUGUAUCAAACCACAUCUCCAUUACAUAUGGUUUAUAAGCCCAAAUGUAUAAAUAGAGAAAACUGACCAAAAAAGGCUUAGGUCUUAGAGGGUUAAUUAAUUAAUUUGUUAAUCUUUAAAAAAUGACAGGAGAGUGAAAAAAACGACCAACAGUCCAAAACCCAAAUAUAUUUAAUUUAUAAUGAUAUAAAGCUGAGAACAAAUACUUAGAAGCUGCAUGGAGGGAAGGAUGUUUGACAUUUUUUGCAUGAGAAAUUGAUUAACUAAUUGUUAAAUUUGUUGAUUAUUUGACAACAGACGUAUCGAUUAGAACAAAAUGUUCUUCACUCAUCAUGUCUGCCUUGCUUAUAUCCAGGUGAGAUCAGGUACAGCGGUUAGCUCAUUGGUUGUGAAUUGGUCACCAAAGAAAGGGUUCAAGUUGAUGUAUCACACCAUCAGUAUGAGCAUUUGGAUGUGGCUACAUAUCCAAACAGAAAAUCUUUUUUGUAAUAUGAAGAUUUAUGAUAUUGAUGUUGAAUUAAAGAACAACUUUAGGCUACUAAAUAAGAUGCAUUUAAUGUCUAGUGGAACAACAUCACACCACCAAGCCCUCUUUCAUGCAACUUUAGUUUUUACUCUGUAACAGAUGCAAUAGCCUACUUGUGCUAGAAAGUUCUUAAAAGAAAAAUGACUGAUUUUGCACAUACACAAAAAGUAUACAAAAAAGCCAUAUGAGUAAUAUGAGUAAACGUAAUUUCUUACUCCUGUGUGCAGCCUGAGAUUGCAGGUUCCUACUCUGCACGUUGGUUUUGGGUGUAUAGAACAUUAAUCAUUUCAUCUGUUUUUAUUUACAGUUAAUAUUACCCCCCAAAAAACACAAGAACUGGACAUCACCCAAAUAUAAAAGUCAAUAAAGGACAGAUGUUGUUACAACAGAGCUAGUGAACCCAAGAGCCAGACACAGGGAGACAGGAGGCAUGAGUAGAACUUGCAAGAUGAUUUAUUUACAACCUUAAUAAAUGUGAGCAGGGAGUGAACUUGAUCCAAGGGGUGAACGAAUUUUGGGGGAAUCCGAGCUUGGGAGCGGUGUGUGUGUGCCAGAACAGCGUCCAGGGAUUAGCAAACCAAGCAGAGGCCAGAACUGAGACGCAAAACCAACAGGUUAACUGUUGAAAACAGCAAUUGGAGCAGACAGAAUGAGCACGAGCUACGACCUGGCAAGGUGCGUUCUUGUAGGAGACUUGACUGCAGAAUGGGAGACACCUGGUGAGGAUCAGCUCAGGACCGACACACCUGACUCUGCUUGAGUAAUCACACACACGCAUACACACACACACAAAAAGAGAGAGACUAUGUAGAGAUGGAAGCCAUGACAGUUGUCUUUAUUGUAAAGAUAUCUGUGAAGUGUUUUCACCACUUACGGUACACAGAGGAGUAAUUGCUUGAUUGCUUUAUGUGUAGGUAACAUAAUUUAUAUUUUUUUUGUUAUUGUUGUUAAAGAUACCAUACAUUUUAGGAAAUUUACUGAUUGUCAAGUCAACAAAGCCUCUUUUAAAAAUCAUGUUUGUCAUAUUUUGUGACUCAAGUCCUUGUUGUCCCAACAGAAACUGUAGAAAUGUGACUUUGUGCAGCUUCUUGAAAUUCACACUGAUUAGAAAACAUCAGCUGUGAAUCACUCAGAUGUAAAAUAAAUGUGAAUUUGGUUGCUGA